GAAGAACCUCCAUCAAUGCAAGGAUGAAGUGAAAGCUCCAUGAGUGGGAGCACAAGGACUGGCCAGUAUCUUGUGCAGGCCUUGUACCUGUGUAGUUUCACCCCAGGAGCUUGCAUGAGUAAACUACACUCGCUGCUGUUAGAUGUCUAAAAUGAGCAGCUGCAGACAGGAGUGAGGGGCUCUGUAGGAAAGUGCAAUCAGAGACAGAGUCAGUCUGGAAAGAACCAGCCUAGAAAAAGAUGUGGUGAGUUGUGCCUAUCUGCUUUGGGGAGCAGUCUGCUUUGUCUCUCUGUGUGUUUUUGGUUACUGUGAGUUAUUUUGGAUUCUAAGAAUAAAAGUAAUGUUAUUUUGCAGACUUCCAGCAAGAGUAUUUGGUAUGUUUAUCUAACAUCAAUGUGUGUAUGCCGUGAACAUAACGAGUGCAAACUCUCUCCUAUCUGCCACAGCUUCUCUCAAAGGACUGGUACAUAUCAAAACUAACAACAAUACAGCAUUUCUUCAAAGACUAAAAUCUUGCUCAAACAUGAAAACUUUUAGUUUUUACAUUAAGACUAUAUGUGUCAGAGCUAUCUGGUGACUCCGGCCUUAACAAUAUUUUGAUAAUUCCAGUCCCCCAACUAAAUCUGGCACCUGAGAAUCAAGCUGAGGUUCUUUCCUUUUCACACGUCAAGGCCAGUAAUAAAAGUUCUGUAAGGCUCACUCACAUCUGUCCAACCCCACUAUCUUUCGAUUCUAUCUUCAGUGACACCUAGGCAGUCCUAUAGCCCUCAUUAGGUUUGCACAGGUGCCAAUGAAAUACAACAGACAGUUAUGUUGGUGAUGCCUGAACCAGCAUGGAAUCCAGCUCCCUCUCCCGGAGCUAUGCCAGCUUUGCUGGGCUGACAGGAGUAAAAAAGUGGUAAAUUAUUAUUUUUGUGU